rnacentral:lncRNA from 1 species
CGCGCCCCGCAGGCCCGCCCACUCCUCGCUUCUCCACUUCCCUUCUCGAAGUGUCCGGUCGCUUCUCGCAGGCGGCGCGCUUGCUGGGUCACAGUGAGGCGGCUCCGCGCAGGCGCAGCCGGGCGGGCGAGGAGCGGGGAAGCUGACUCAGGGCUGCGGCCGGGGUCCUGCGGGGUAGGAGCGCGAGGCCGGCCUGAGGGAGGAGGCCUAGCGACCCAUCCGGCGCCUCCCGCCCCGGGCACCCGCCCGCGGCCGCGCAUCCUGCGGGCCCCAGGAGGCCUCCAUCUCAAAACAACGUGUUUUUAGUGUUGACUCACCUGUGGAGUGGUCUGAGCCUGAAUGCCCGGGGCUGUGGCCACCGAGUGAACGGGCUGUGCUAAGGGGAAUUGCCACCUUGGGAAACCUGUGUAGUUGCGGCUUUUCUGAUUAAGUAUCAAUAAAAGUCUGACCUUGUGAAAAAAGCAAACGUGAGUGGCCCUGCUUAUGUUU